AGUGAACGCUGGCGGUAGGCCUAACACAUGCAAGUCGAACGGCAGCACAGUAAGAGCUUGCUCUUACGGGUGGCGAGUGGCGGACGGGUGAGGAAUACAUCGGAAUCUACUUUUUCGUGGGGGAUAACGUAGGGAAACUUACGCUAAUACCGCAUACGACCUACGGGUGAAAGCAGGGGAUCUUCGGACCUUGCGCGAUUGAAUGAGCCGAUGUCGGAUUAGCUAGUUGGCGGGGUAAAGGCCCACCAAGGCGACGAUCCGUAGCUGGUCUGAGAGGAUGAUCAGCCCCACUGGAACUGAGGCACGGUCCAGACUCCUACGGGAGGCAGCAGUGGGGAAUAUUGGACAAUGGGCGCAAGCCUGAUCCAGCCAUACCGCGUGGGUGAAGAAGGCCUUCGGGUUGUAAAGCCCUUUUGUUGGGAAAGAAAAGCAGCAGGUUAAUACCCCGCUGUUCUGACGGUACCCAAAGAAUAAGCACCGGCUAACUUCGUG
rnacentral:rRNA from 1 species